GACGAACGCUGGCGGCGUGCCUAACACAUGCAAGUCGAACGAAGCAUAGCAAUAUGCUUAGUGGCGGACGGGUGAGUAACGCGUGAACAAUCUGCCCUGUACAAAGGAAUAGCCUCGGGAAACCGGGAUUAAAACCGUAUGACACUUUAGUAUCGCAUGAUAAGAAAGUCAAAUCGAAUAGAGGUAUGGGAUGAGUUCGCGUCUGAUUAGCUGGUUGGCGGGGUAACGGCCCACCAAGGCGACGAUCAGUAGCCGGCCUGAGAGGGUGAACGGCCACACUGGAACUGAGACACGGUCCAGACUCCUACGGGAGGCAGCAGUGGGGAAUAUUGCACAAUGGAGGGAACUCUGAUGCAGCGACGCCGCGUGAGUGAAGAAGGUCUUCGGAUCGUAAACUCUGUCCUUGGUGAAGAAAAGGACGGUAGCCAAGGAGGAAGCCCCGGCUAACUACGUG
rnacentral:rRNA from 1 species